rnacentral:rRNA from 1 species
UACGUAGGGUGCGAGCGUUAAUCGGAGUUACUGGGCGUAAAGCGUGCGCAGGCGGCGCGUUAAGACAGGUGUGAAAGCCCCGAGCUUAACUUGGGAAUUGCGCUUGUGACUGGCGGGCUGGAGUGUGGCAGAGGGAGGUGGAAUUCCACGUGUAGCAGUGAAAUGCGUAGAGAUGUGGAGGAACACCGAUGGCGAAGGCAGCCUCCUGGGCCAGCACUGACGCUCAUGCACGAAAGCGUGGGGAGCAAACAGG